rnacentral:rRNA from 1 species
CCUACGGGAGGCAGCAGUAGGGAAUGUUCGUCAAUGGGCGCAAGCCUGAACGAGCAAUGCCGCGUGAACGAGGAAGGUCUUCGGAUCGUAAAGUUCUGUUGAAGGGGAAAAAGAGCGGAGAGAGGAAAUGGUCUCCGAUUGAUAUUACCAGUCGAGGAAGGCACGGCUAACUACGUGCCAGCAGCCGCGGUAAUACGUAGGUGGCGAGCGUUAUCCGGAAUGAUUGGGCGUAAAGGGUGCGUAGGCGGCCUGCUAAGUCUGGAGUGAAAGGUACCGGCUCAACCGGUACAGGCUCUGGAAACUGGCGGGCUAGAGUGCAGGAGAGGGCGGUGGAACUCCCUGUGUAGCGGUCAACUGCGUAGAUAUCUGGAAGACCACCAGUGGCGACGGCGGCCGCCUGGCCUGUUACUGCCGCUGAGGCACGAAAGCGUGGGUAGCACAUAGGAUUAGAUACCCCAGUAGUC